UCCACAUUACACACUGACUUCAUGCAGUUCAUCAGUGGAUUAAAGUAUAAUUUACUCUGUGUAACGUUAUCUGCUAUAAGAGACGCAAUUAAUUUGCUUUAACGUGAAAGAAAUAGACGGCUUCCUGACCCCCGUCUAUUUCCUGCCUUUCUUGUCAGAGUGAGUUGGGAACAGAGUAAGAGAAGGAAGCUGAAUAAAAGUUAAAUACAAAUAGAAAAAAGAUUAUACACCAGAUUUGAGCAGUAAACUAGUUAAAGAAAUGGGAAAGUUAGUAAGGAGUUUUCACUCGGGAUUAGAGGACUCCAGCCGGUACCUGACUUCAGAGUGAUGGAGAGCUCCUUCUUAAUAAACCUGCAGAGCAGUGAGGACGUCCAGCUUCAGGACCUCCUGAUGACAGGGGGUUUUUGGAGCCGUCGAUGAGCGCGUUUGAAGCGGUGCCUUUCUGGUGAAGAUAAGGGGAUCGAGCUCUACCUGUGGUCCCCACCUUCCGCCAGUCGGAUCAAUAUGAAAGUCCUGAUUUGUGUGAUCGCGUUGGCCUUCGCGGCGAAGUCUGCACUCGGAGUGCUGUAUUCAGCUGACAUGAUGAUGCUGCUCAUCUUCAUCUCCAGCUGUGUGGGUGGAGCAGCAGCAGAGGUGGAGGCUGAGGAUGGUGUGGAUGAUCAGGAGCUUCACUCUGAAUCCUGACCUCCUCCUUGUGCUUCUGUCUCCAUAAUUUGGUCACCAUGGCGACCAUCUGGAUGAUUGGAGUCCCUCCUCUCACUUUCUGAGAGUUUCUUCACUUCACAUGUAGAGUUGGCUCCACUACCCUGAAGGCUGCACUACAAACCAAGUCCAGCAUAGUUUAGCUUUAUAGGGCUUUGGAGUUGACGUCACGCCGCAGUGCAUUGUGGGAUUGCGGCGCCAUGUCGGGCGGCCACAAAUCAAAACAAACACACUGUGCUGGAAGCAGGACUGCCAGAACCAUGCUUAAAAUCAGCGCAAAAGACAAAGGGCUGUAUCGCGAACGAUUGCGCCCAGACGCCAAGAGACGGUACUUUGAAAAAAUAGCGUGCAUCGGUAAUGUGGACCCGUAUGAAAAAAGGCAGUGGAGCGGAAACCCAGACAGCCUACCGCCGUUGUCGCGUACCUUGUCUGUGCAGUCAGCGCAUACACGGAGAAUAAUUUUCGGAAUUAUAAAUCCCUGGAGGCGCACAUCUAAUUCACAAACGGUUGGGUACAAGAUUUGGCCGUUUUUAAGCCUCCACGUUGUGAGUACGUUGACCAUAUGACCAAGAUACAGCCAGAGGUUGCCAGCUGUGCGUUGCCAUGUAAAUAGUUUGCAUUUCAUGUGUAUGUACUUGCUAAGUACAUGUGAACAGAUCUUGAAUAAAAAAAUAAACAUACUUUUAUUUUCUGCUUCAUAUUUCAUAUGCUGGUUUGCCUACAAUAAUGCCAAAUAAUACGCUACUCCGUCAACGUGACGUGGUUCUGCAGCAUCACACAUUACUAUAUUUUAUCUAAUUAUCUAUGACCUCAGCGCAUUCAAAAUAACGCUAAAAGCCUAUUAAGCGAGAUAUGAAUUUAUUUAGAACUCACCGGUAAGAAAAUGCCGCCAGCAAACCAACAAAAAAUUGGGGAUGGCAGAGAACUCGAUAUCCGCUCGUCUGACCGCUGCAAUCCAAGCCUGACGUCUUCGUUUAGUAAUAUCGGAUACAUGAGAGCCCUCCCGUUGCCUCCAGGAGGGGAAACAAUGAAAAGAGAGCCCAUUUUCCAGCUUCUUGCCUUCCUUAUCGUGUGAUCUAACGUUGCAACACAGCACGUACGAACCAUAGCUGACGCUUCCGUGUGCUUUCUUUGGCCUACUGUCAUGGCGGGAGGGGGCGUGGCCCCGCUCCCGUGACAUCACGCUCCAAAGCCCUAUAGCUGGCUCAUAAAAGCUCAGUCAGAUAUAAACUUCACAAACACCUGGCAGGAGUUUGUGGAGGAUGGGCUUCUGCUGGUCAUCACCCUCCUCUCCCUGGGCAUCGCCUACUACGUCAGUGAGGUCCUGCCUUUCUCAGGGUGGAGGCAGUAAAAUAAAUGAAGAUUCUUGUGAGGAACAAAAACCCUGUUUGCUCUGUUACAAGCUGUAUAUUGCUGAUGUUUUGUAUCUUUUCAUUGUUUUCUCCCCACUUGUUAUUAAUUCAAAUGUUUUUGGUAUGAACUUUUUCCUUGUUGUCUUUAUUUUACACAAAUACCUGCAGCUGUUGUUUAAAAAAGUCUCAUUAUGUGCAAUAAAUGAAUAAAAUCUCUGAAUGACUGUAAUCUUCAUCAGGUUAGAGUGUCAGUUUGUUUUUAUCUCAACUUUAUUGGCACACAGCAGCUAACCUGAGCUUUUUAUAAAGAGCAAAGUAAACAGAGUGAAGACUGUAAAUCUCUAUAAACAAACAAACAGGACAAGUUCUCGCUGUAAAUGAAUAAUUUUAAUAUAAAAGGGGAGUAAAUAAAGAAGUAGAAUAAACAAAACUGCAAUAAAACUGUUCUGAAGAAGUAAGAAUUUUGUAAAGUGGUCUGAGGAGCUUGGAAAAAAGCGAGUGGACGUUCAUCUCUUCUUCUACACUUUAAGGGUUGAGUUGUUUUUCUUUUUCGGCUCAUCAUUUAUAAAGUCAGGGUUCCCGUUUGACUUCAGCAUGUGUUGUUGGUCACAGUCUGAUUCUCUGCCCUCUUCAGACCCUCCUCCUCCUCCUCCUCUGUGCCGCUGCAGAGAUCCAUCACCGUUGCUGAUGGUAACACUUUUCAAGUUUAUUUCUUCUUCCUGCUCUGAGGAUCCUCCACCAAAACCUGGAGUGCACACUUUGAAUAUCCUGUUCCUCAGAAACCAGCAGAGCCAAACGAGCAGGUCAACGAUCACAAACGAAAAUACCGUUAUGAAGAAUGUUCUCCACGACCAGUCAGAGCACUCUGAUGGCUGCAGAGGACAAGAAGACAGCAGAAAUAUUAGUUAGCAGUUUUAACUGACUUUUAAUGCUUUCAGUUAAAGUGAAAAUAAAACAUUUUACACCGUAAAGCUCAACAUAAAGGCGAGAUCAUUAUAUGUUGCUUUUAAGGUGCUGAAGCUUGGACAGCAGAUGUGGUGACAUUAAAAUUGUAGAAAAUUGUAGAAUUUCGGUCAAACAGGAAAAACAGGGGCUUCUGGUUUUUAUGGAGCUUCUGUGCCCAUUACGACUAUGAGGCUCUGAAAGAGCUGCUUCCACCAAGUUAUCAGAGCCCAUGACUGCCAUAAAGGCCUAAUCCCCCCAAUUAUCAAGAAU
ensembl:lncRNA